GUGGGGAAUCUUGCGCAAUGGGCGAAAGCCUGACGCAGCCAUGCCGCGUGAAUGAUGAAGGUCUUAGGAUUGUAAAAUUCUUUCACCGGGGACGAUAAUGACGGUACCCGGAGAAGAAGCUCCGGCUAACUUCGUGCCAGCAGCCGCGGUAAUACGAAGGGGGCUAGCGUUGCUCGGAAUUACUGGGCGUAAAGGGCGCGUAGGCGGACAGCUUAGUCAGAGGUGAAAGCCCAGGGCUCAACCUUGGAAUUGCCUUUGAUACUGGCUGUCUUGAGUUUUGGAGAGGUGAGUGGAACUCCGAGUGUAGAGGUGAAAUUCGUAGAUAUUCGGAAGAACACCAGUGGCGAAGGCGACUCACUGGCCCAAUACUGACGCUGAGGCGCGAAAGCGUGGGGAGCAAACAGGAUUAGAAACCCGUGUAGUCC
rnacentral:rRNA from 1 species